rnacentral:rRNA from 1 species
UAUACAUGCAAGUCGAACGCUUCUUUUUCCACCGGAGCUUGCUCCACCGGAAAAAGAGGAGUGGCGAACGGGUGAGUAACACGUGGGUAACCUGCCCAUCAGAAGGGGAUAACACUUGGAAACAGGUGCUAAUACCGUAUAACAAUCAAAACCGCAUGGUUUUGAUUUGAAAGGCGCUUUCGGGUGUCRCUGAUGGAUGGACCCGCGGUGCAUUAGCUAGUUGGUGAGGUAACGGCUCACCAAGGCCACGAUGCAUAGCCGACCUGAGAGGGUGAUCGGCCACAUUGGGACUGAGACACGGCCCAAACUCCUACGGGAGGCAGCAGUAGGGAAUCUUCGGCAAUGGACGAAAGUCUGACCGAGCAACGCCGCGUGAGUGAAGAAGGUUUUCGGAUCGUAAAACUCUGUUGUUAGAGAAGAACAAGGAUGAGAGUAACUGUUCAUCCCUUGACGGUAUCUAACCAGAAAGCCACGGCUAACUACGUGCCAGCAGCCGCGGUAAUACGUAGGUGGCAAGCGUUGUCCGGAUUUAUUGGGCGUAAAGCGAGCGCAGGCGGUUUCUUAAGUCUGAUGUGAAAGCCCCCGGCUCAACCGGGGAGGGUCAUUGGAAACUGGGAGACUUGAGUGCAGAAGAGGAGAGUGGAAUUCCAUGUGUAGCGGUGAAAUGCGUAGAUAUAUGGAGGAACACCAGUGGCGAAGGCGGCUCUCUGGUCUGUAACUGACGCUGAGGCUCGAAAGCGUGGGGAGCAAAAGGAUUAGAUACCCUGU